rnacentral:lncRNA from 1 species
AGGGAAGGGAAGGGAAGGGAAGGGAAGGGAAGGGAAGGGAAGGGAAGGGAAGGGAAGGGGAAAUAAAAUUUACUUGAAAAUUCUUUGUUGUGCACCCAAUGUAGAAAAGUGACUCCUAAGCACUUUUGAUGAUGACUUUCAUCAUAGACAGCUGAAUUUCUGUCAAGGUUCUGAUACCACAUCAUUGCCAUGAACUCACUUGAUGUCAUAAGUCCUACUUGAGUAGCUACUCAUCAUAAAGUUCAAGACUGGUUCCCGAUGUUCAAAAGGACUUUGGCAUCUUCUAGUACUAGGAGGCACCUGUUCCUGCUUAGGACUCAGAACUCAUGUUCAUUCCUUGAGCUGUUUCUCUGAAGUUUUGACCUAUAGAAUUUUAUAACUAUUCAACUUUUA